AGCAGCCGCGGUAAUUCCAGCUCCAAUAGCGUAUAUUAAAGUUGUUGCAGUUAAAAAGCUCGUAGUUGAAUUUCGGGGUCAGUAGGUCGGUCGUGCCACUGGUAUGAACUGGUUUUACUGAUUCCUCCCUCUUGAAGAACUGUAAUGCCAUUAAUUUGGUGUUGCAGGGAAUCAGGACUGUUACUUUGAAAAAAUUAGAGUGUUUAAAGCAGGCUUUAGCUUGAAUACAUUAGCAUGGAAUAAUGAAAUAGGACGUUUGAUCCUAUUUUGUUGGUUUCUAGGAUUGACGUAAUGAUUAAUAGGGAUAGUUGGGGGCAUUAGUAUUCAAUUGUCAGAGGUGAAAUUCUUGGAUUUAUUGAAGACUAACUACUGCGAAAGCAUUUGCCAGGAUGUUUUCAUUAAUCAAGAACGAAAGUUAGGGAUCGAAGACGAUCAGAUACCGUCGUAGUCUUAACCAUAAACUAUGCCGACUAGGGAUCGGAUGAUGUUAAUUUUUAUGUACUUCAUUCGGCGCCUUACG
rnacentral:rRNA from 1 species